GUCUUAAAGAAAUUAAUUUUAAGUCUAAUCUGCCCAAUGAAAAUUUAAAUGGCUGCAGAAUCUAUAACUGUACAAAGGUAGCAUAAUAAUUUGUUUUUUAAUUAAAAACUUGAAUGAAAGAUUAAAUAAAAUAUAAACUAUUUUAAAUAAAAAUAUUAAAAUUUUUAUUUAAGUAAAAAAACUUAAAUAUAUUUAAAAGACGACAAGACCCUAUAGAAUUUAAAUUAAUAUAUUAAUAUAAUCCAUAAAUUAUUUAAUUAAAUUAAUAAAUUAAUUUUAAUUGGGGCAAUUUAUAAAUUUAAUUAAUUUUUUACUAAUAUACAAAAAUAUUUGUUUAAAAAAUCUAAUAAUAUUAAAUAUAAAAUUAAUUACCUUAGGGAUAACAGCAUAAUUUUUUUUAAAAGACCUUAUUAAUAAAAAAGAUUAU
rnacentral:rRNA from 1 species